rnacentral:lncRNA from 1 species
UCACAUACAUCUCUCUCUAUAUAAUUAUAUAUAAUCGAAAAUGCUUGAUUUUUUUCAGACCAUCUUGCCCUCGUGGAGCUCUGGUCCCAGAAAUGGGAAUCAUGAAUUAAAGAAGACAGAGAUGGAUGAGUUUGAGUGUUUGAUUGAGGAGAAAAGUGGGAGAAAAUUGAAGAUCGUGAUGAGAAAAGAAACAGCUUUUCGACUGCUUUCCAAGUGCAGAAAUGGAGGCAGACUUGAAUACGAGGAUUUGGCUAAGGAUCUCAAAAAAUUAUCUGCCGACUAUGUUCGUUGCAAUUCCAAACUUGAAUGAUUUCUUUCACUCGAUUCUUGUUUUCCCUUUACUUUGUCGUCUGUUUUUGUUCCCCCCUUUUUUUGUUUUUGUUUGUGGUUAAUUUGAACUUUGAAGAGAGAGGGUCGAUCCAAGAUUGAGAUAUCGACAUAUUGAAAAGUGUUUAUUUAUGAAAUUAUAAUGAAGAAAUCAUAAUGUGAAUCGUAUUGAAG